GACGAACGCUGGCGGCGUGCUUAACACAUGCAAGUCGAACGGAAAGGCCCUGCUUUUGUGGGGUGCUCGAGUGGCGAACGGGUGAGUAACACGUGAGUAACCUGCCCUUGACUUUGGGAUAACUUCAGGAAACUGGGGCUAAUACCGGAUAGGAGCUCCUGCUGCAUGGUGGGGGUUGGAAAGAUUCGGCGGUUGGGGAUGGACUCGCGGCUUAUCAGCUUGUUGGUGGGGUAGUGGCUUACCAAGGCUUUGACGGGUAGCCGGCCUGAGAGGGUGACCGGCCACAUUGGGACUGCGAGACGGCCCAGACUCCUACGGGAGGCAGCAGUGGGGAAUAUUGCACAAUGGGCGGAAGCCUGAUGCAGCAACGCCGCGUGCGGGAUGACGGCCUUCGGGUUGUAAACCGCUUUCGCCUGUGACGAAGCGUGAGUGACGGUAAUGGGUAAAGAAGCACCGGCUAACUACGUG
rnacentral:rRNA from 1 species